GGAAUGAAAACAAGAUUUAAAAUCUAUCUUCAAUGACUGAAGUUAGAAGAAAAUUAAUACUUUUCUUACAAUCCAGCAUCACCUCCCAUUGUUAAUUUCAGUGAACAUAUUUAGAAACUGCCAACAAUUGUUUACAAAGCUUUGGAAAUACAUGUUUUGACUCAGGCCACAGACUUAAAGUAUAGGCACCCUAGAUGUCAAAAAGAUGAUAAUAAGCAGAUGAGGCUAGGGAAGAAACAGCCAUAACCACUGAGUUCUUUUCAGAAAUCCCUAUUUACCUAGGUUACAGCUUGGUUUUGUGUGAAGAAGGUGUGGGGCCCUCAAGCCUGGAGUGCAGAAAGGCUUUCUCUGGCUUCUACUUUGUCAUUGUCCUCUACUGAACAAAAAGAAAACUGCUUGUCCGCCUCCGAAAAAGAAGUUGCCAGCUGUGAUUUACUAGCUGUUUUGCACUGUGCUUCUUAAGUAUAUCACUGACAUCAGUUAAUUGCCAAUGCCAGAACUUUGCCAUAAUCUCUGUCACCCUGCUUUCCACUUACACGCUUGUUAUUUUGCCCAAUUUUCAUUCAUCAC
rnacentral:lncRNA from 1 species